rnacentral:sRNA from 1 species
AGCAGCAGCAGCGGCGGCAGCGGCGGGCGGCCGCGCGGGUGUUUAUGUCGGGUCGCGGGGUCUCGCGGCAGCAUGGCGGACUACCUGAUCAGCGGCGGCACCGGCUACGUGCCCGAGGAUGGGCUCACCGCGCAGCAGCUCUUCGCCAGCGCCGACGGCCUCACCUACAACGACUUCCUGAUUCUCCCAGGAUUCAUAGACUUCAUAGCUGAUGAGGUGGACCUGACCUCAGCUCUGACCCGGAAGAUCACGCUGAAGACGCCGCUGAUCUCCUCCCCCAUGGACACUGUGACAGAGGCUGACAUGGCCAUUGCCAUGGCUCUGAUGGGAGGUAUUGGUUUCAUUCACCACAACUGCACCCCAGAGUUCCAGGCCAACGAGGUGCGGAAGGUCAAGGCAAGUACCAGGCCUGUCCCCAGCAAGAUGCCACCUGGCAGUCCCCACCUCAGAGGCCCUCCCAGCCUCCCCCGCCAGCCCUGCACUGCUACACUCCCUGCGUGUCCUUCCUCUCAGUGGAGCCUUGGGGCCGAGCCCUCAUUUU